rnacentral:rRNA from 1 species
GACGAACGCUGGCGGCGUGCCUAAUACAUGCAAGUCGAACGCAGUGGGGACGGGUGAGUAACACGUGGGUAACCUCCAAUCAGAGGGGAUAACACUUGGAAACAGGUGCUAAACCGAUACUGAUGGAUGGAACCGCGGUGCAUUAGCUAGUUGGUGGGGUAACGGCUCACCAAGGGCACGAUGAAUGGCCCACCUGACACGUUUGUCGGCCAGGUUUGGACUUGGACACGGCCCGUACUCCUACGGUAGGCAGCAGUAUGGAAUCUUCGGCAAUGGACGAAAGUCUGACCGAGCAACUCCGCGUGAGUGAAGAAGGUUUUCGGAUCGUAAUACUCUGUUGUUAGAGAAGCGGUAUCUAACCAGAAAGCCACGGCUAACUACGUCCCAGCAGCCGCGAUAAUAC